rnacentral:rRNA from 1 species
GACGAACGCUGGCGGCGUGCUUAACACAUGCAAGUCGAACGGAAAGGCCCUGCUUUUGUGGGGUGCUCGAGUGGCGAACGGGUGAGUAACACGUGAGUAACCUGCCCUUGACUUUGGGAUAACUUCAGGAAACUGGGGCUAAUACCGGAUAGGAGCUCCUGCUGCAUGGUGGGGGUUGGAAAGUUUCGGCGGGUGGGGAUGGACUCGCGGCUUAUGAGCUUGUUGGUGGGGUAGUGGCUUACCAAGGCUUUGACGGGUAGCCGGCCUGAGAGGGUGAACGGCCACAUUGGGACUGAGAUACGGACCAAAGUCCUACGGGAGGCAGCAGGGGGGAAUAUUGCACAAUGGGCGGAAGCCUGAUGCAGCAACGCCGCGUGCGGGAUGACGGCCUUCGGGUUGUAAACCGCUUUCGCCUGUGACGAAGCGUGAGUGACGGUAAUGGGUAAAGAAGCACCGGCUAACUACGUG